rnacentral:rRNA from 1 species
GAUGAACGCUGGCGGCGUGCCUAAUACAUGCGAGUCGAGCGAACAGACGAGGAGCUUGCUCCUCUGACGUUAGCGGCGGACGGGUGAGUAACACGUGGAUAACCUACCUAUAAGACUGGGAUAACUUCGGGAAACCGGAGCUAAUACCGGAUAAUAUAUUGAACCGCAUGGUUCAAUAGUGAAAGACGGUUUUGCUGUCACUUAUAGAUGGAUCCGCGCCGCAUUAGCUAGCUGGUAAGGUAACGGCUUACCAAGGCAACGAUGCGUAGCCGACCUGAGAGGGUGAUCGGCCACACUGGAACUGAGACACGGUCCAGACUCCUACGGGAGGCAGCAGUAGGGAAUCUUCCGCAAUGGGCGAAAGCCUGACGGAGCAACGCCGCGUGAGUGAUGAAGGUCUUCGGAUCGUAAAACUCUGUUAUUAGGGAAGAACAAAUGUGUAAGUAACUAUGCACGUCUUGACGGUACCUAAUCAGAAAGCCACGGCUAACUACGUG